UUGAAGUAUCAAUAAUUCUGUAAAACAUACAUCACUUAUCCCAUGUUUUGCCGCGAGGGAAAGAUGAAAAGGACUUUGAAAAGAGAGUCAAAGAGUGCUUGAAAUUGUCGGGAGGGAAGCAGAUGGGGGCUGACGAUGUGCCCCGGUCAGAUGUGGAAAGGUCACAAGCCGGUCUGCCGAUCAGCUCGGGGCUUUGAUCGAUGCAGAUUACGGCGGCGGCCAAAGUCCGGGCUGUUAAUAUGCCUGCGGAGACGCCACGACGAGAUCAUGGUAGGCAUCACGCACCGUCUCGGCGUGCCUAAGCAUCUGUGUGCUCCUAUCAUCGGCCUAUGGGCUCCCCAUUUGACCCGUCUUGAAACAUGGACCAAGGAGUCUGACAUGUGUGUGAGUCAACUGGCAAUUACACCCAUAAGGCAUAAGGAAGUGGACUGGUGGGAUCCCUUUAACGGUUGCACUGCUGACCGACCUUGAUCUUUUGAGAAGGGUUCGAGUAAGAGCAUGCCUGUCGGGUCCAGAAAUAUGGUGAAUUAUGCCUGAGCGAGGUGAAGCCAAAGGAAACUCUGGUGGGGCCGGCAACGAUACUAACGUGCAAAUCGUUCGUCUAAUUUGGGUAUAGGGUCGAAAGACUAAUCAAACCGUCUAGUAGCUGGUUCCCUCCGAAGUUUCCCUCAGGAUAACUGGAGCCCAUGAACUAGUUCUAUCAGGUAAAGUCAAUGAUUAGACGCAUCGGGGGCGCAACGCCCUGGACCUAUUCUCAAACUUUAAAUGGGUAGGACGACGCAGCUGCUUUGUUGAGCCGCACCAUGGAAUCGAGAGCUCCAAGUGGGCCAUUUUUGGUAAGCAAAACUGGCGAUGCAGGAUUAACCGGAAGCUAGGUUACGAUGCCCAACUGUGCGCUAACCUAGAACCCACAGAGGGUGUUGGUCGAUUAAGGCAGCAAGGUGGUGGUCAGGGAAGUCGAAAUCUGCUAAGGAGUGUGUAAGAACUCACCUGCAGAAUCAACUAGCCCUGAAAAUGGAUGGCGCUUAAGCGUGCGACCUAUACUCGGUCGUCGGGGCAAGUGCUAGGCCCUGAUGAGUAGGACGGCAUAGCGGUCACUGCAAAACUUGGGGCACAAGCCUGGCCGGAGUGGCCAUCGGUGCAGAUCUUGUGGUAGUAGCAAAUAUUCAAAUGAGAACUUUGAAGGCCGAAGAGGGGAAAGGUUCCAUGUGAACGACACUUGCACAUGGGUUAGUCAAUCCUAAGAUACAGGGGAAGCCCAUCUGAUAGUGCAUCUCGCGCAAACUUCAAAAAGGAAUCGGGUUAAAAUUCUUGAACUGGGACGUGGUGGUUGACGGCAACGUUAGGGAGUCCGGGGACGUCGGCGGGGGCCUUGGAAAGGGUUAUCCUUUUUGUUUAACAGCCUGCCCACCCUGGAAACAGCUCAGCCAAAGGUAGGGUCCAGCGGCUGGAAGAGCACCCCACGUCGCGUGGUGUUCGGUGCGCCCACGAUGACCUUUGAAAAUCCAGAGGUCUGAGUGCCAUUCACGCCGGUCGUACUUAUAACUGCAUCAGGUCUCUAAGGUGAACAUCCUUUGGUUGAUGGAACAAUUUAGGCAAAGGAAGUCAAUAAAAUGGAUCCGUAACCUCAGGAAAAGGAUUGGCUCUGAGGGCUAGGCACUGGGGGUCCUAGUCCCAAACCCUUCGGUUGUCUAUGGACUGCUCGAGCUGGUCGCCGCGUGUCGGCUGGGGGACGGACUUGGAACGUUCCUUCGGGGACUUUCCCUGGGCGUCGAACAGCUGCCUCAAAAACUGGUACGGAUAAGGGGAAUCUAAUUGUUUAAUUAAAACAAAGCAUUGUGAUGGUCCCUACGGAUGCUAACACAAUGUGAUUUCUGCCCAAUGCUCUGAAUGUCAAAGUGAAGAAAUUCAACCAAGCGCGAGUAAAUGGCAGGAGUAAUUAUGACUCUCUUAAGGUAGCCAAAUGCCUCGUCAUCUAAUUAGUGACAUGCAUGAAUGGAUUAACGAGAUUCCCAUUGUCCCUGUCUACUAUCCAGUGAAACCACAACCAAGGGAACGAGCUUGGCAGAAUCAGCCGGGAAAGAAGACCCUGUUGAGCUUGACUCUAGUCCAACUUUGUGAAAUGACUUGAGAGGUGUAGUAUAAGUGGGAGCUUCAGCGAAAUUGAAAUACCACUACUUUUAACGUUAUUUUACUUAUUUUGUGAAAUGGAGGCGGGGCAUUUUGGACCCAAGGCCAGCCUCGCGUAAGACGAUCUAGGCGGAAGACAUUGUCAGGUGGGGAGUUUGGCUGGGGUGGCACAUUUGUUAAAAGAUAAAGCAGGUGUCUUAAGAUGAGCUCAACGAGAACAUAAAUCUCGUGUGGAACAAAAAGGUAAAAGCUCUUUUGAUUCUGAUUUCCAGUACGAAUACGAACCAUGAAAGCAUGGCCUAUCGAUCCUUUAGAUCUUCGGAAUUUAAAGCUAGAGGUGUCAGAAAAGUUACCACAAGGAUAACUAGCUUGUGGCAGCCAAGCAUUCAUAGCGACGUUGCUUUUUUAUCCUUCGAUGUCGGCUCUUCCUAUCAUUAUGAAGCAGAAUUUACCAAGUGUUGGAUUGUUCACCCACCAAUAGGGAACGUGAGUUGGGUUUAGACCGUCAUGAGACAGGUUAGUUUUAGCCUCCUAAUGACAGUGUCGCAAUAGUAAUUCAACAUAAUACGAGAGGAAUCGUUGAUUCGCACAAUUGGUCAUCGCGCUUGGUUGAAAAGCCAUUGGCACGAAGCUACCAUGCGCUGGAUUAUGAAUGAACGCCUUUAAGUCAUAAUCUAAGCUAGAAGCGAUGCAUGCACCCGCCGCCCGUUUGCCGAUCCUCAGUAGGGGCCUUAGGCCCCCAAAGGCACGUGUCUUUGGUGAAGCCCUUGUUGUGGAUGAGCUGCGAGGGCCAGCUUAAAUUACAAUUUCUACUGAGCGGUAAGUAGAAUCCUUUGCAGACGACUUACAUACGUGAGGAGGUAUUGUA
rnacentral:rRNA from 1 species